AACGAACGCUGGCGGCAGGCCUAACACAUGCAAGUCGAACGCCGUAGCAAUACGGAGUGGCAGACGGGUGAGUAACGCGUGGGAACAUACCCCUCGGUUCGGAAUAACUCAGGGAAACUUGAGCUAAUACCGGAUACGUCCGAGGUUUUAACCGACCUUGGAGAAAGAUUUAUCGCCGGAGGAUUGGCCCGCGUCUGAUUAGCUUGUUGGUGAGGUAAUGGCUCACCAAGGCGACGAUCAGAGCUGGUCUGAGAGGAUGAUCAGCCACAUUGGGACUGAGACACGGCCCAAACUCCUACGGGAGGCAGCAGUAGGGAAUAUUGGACAAUGGGGCGAAAGCCUGAUCCAGCCAUGCCGCGUGAGUGAUGAAGGCCUUAGGGUUGUAAAGCUCUCUUACCCGGGAAGAUAAUGACGGUACCGGGAGAAUAAGCCCCGGCUAACUUCGUGCCAGCAGCCGCAGUAAU
rnacentral:rRNA from 1 species